rnacentral:rRNA from 1 species
GUUCCGACACACUAUCGUUAACUGAAUACAUAGGUUAACGAGGCGAACCGGGGGAACUGAAACAUCUAAGUACCCCGAGGAAAAGAAAUCAACCGAGAUUCCCCCAGUAGCGGCGAGCGAACGGGGAGCAGCCCAGAGUCUGAAUCAGCUUGUGUGUUAGUGGAAGCGUCUGGAAAGUCGCACGGUACAGGGUGACAGUCCCGUACACGAAAAUGCACAGGUUGUGAACUCGAAGAGUAGGGCGGGACACGUGGUAUCCUGUCUGAAUAUGGGGGGACCAUCCUCCAAGGCUAAAUACUCCUGACUGACCGAUAGUGAACCAGUACCGUGAGGGAAAGGCGAAAAGA